rnacentral:rRNA from 1 species
AGCGAACGCUGGCGGCAGGCCUAACACAUGCAAGUCGAACGGACCCUUCGGGGUUAGUGGCGGACGGGUGAGUAACACGGGGGAACGUGCCUUUAGGUUCGGCAUAGCUCCUGGAAACGGGUGGUAAUGCCGAAUGUGCCCUUCCGGGGAAAGAUUUAUCGCCUUUGGAGCGGCCCGCGUCUGAUUAGCUAGUUGGUGAGGUAACGGCUCACCAAGGCGACGAUCAGUAGCUGGUCUGUGAGGAUGACCAGCCACACUGGGCCUGGGACACGGCCCAGACUCCUACGGGAGGCAGCAGUGGGUAAUCUUGCGCAAUGGGGGAUAUCCUGAAGCAGUCAUGACGCGUGAAUGAUGAAGGUCUUAGGAUUGUAAAAUUCUUUCACCGGGGACGAUAAUGACGGUACCCGGAGAAGAAGCCCCGGCUAACUUCGUG